rnacentral:rRNA from 1 species
AGUGAACGCUGGCGGUAGGCCUAACACAUGCAAGUCGAACGGCAGCACAGUAAGAGCUUGCUCUUACGGGUGGCGAGUGGCGGACGGGUGAGGAAUAUAUCGGAAUCUACUUUUUCGUGGGGGAUAACGUAGGGAAAGUUACGCUAAUACCGCAUACGACCUACGGGUGAAAGGAGGGGAUCGUCGCACCUGGCGGGGUUGGAUGAGCGGAUGUCGGUUUAGUUGGUUGGCGGGGUAAAGGCCUACCAAGGCGGCGAUCCGUGGCUGGUCUGAGUGGAUGGUCACCCACCCUGGAGCUGAGCCAGGGUCCAUGGUGCUACGGUAGGCAGCAGUGGGGAACGGUGGACAAUAGUAGCAAGCCUGAUCCAGUCGGACCACGUGGGUGGAGGAGACCUUCGGGUUGUAAAGCCCUUUUGUUGGGAAAGAAAAGCUGCCGCUUAUUACCCCGCGGUUCUGACGGUACCGAGAGAAUAAGCACCGGCUAACUUCGUG